rnacentral:rRNA from 1 species
UACGGAGGGUGCAAGCGUUGUCCGGAAUCACUGGGCGUAAAGGGCGCGUAGGCGGCUCAUGAAGGCUGUGGUGAAAGUCCGGGGCUCAACCUCGGAUCGGCCGUGGCGACUCGUGGGCUGGAGCACUGUAGAGGCGGGUGGAAUUCCGGGUGUAGCGGUGGAAUGCGUAGAGAUCCGGAAGAACACCGGUGGCGAAGGCGGCCUGCUGGGCUAUGGCUGACACUGAGGCGCGACAGCGUGGGGAGCAAACAGG